rnacentral:rRNA from 1 species
AUUGAACGCUGGCGGCAGGCCUAACACAUGCAAGUCGAGCGGAUGAAGGGAGCUUGCUCCUGGAUUCAGCGGCGGACGGGUGAGUAAUGCCUAGGAAUCUGCCUGGUAGUGGGGGAUAACGUCCGGAAACGGGCACUAAUACCGCAUACGUCCUGAGGGAGAAAGUGGGGGAUCUUCGGACCUCACGCUAUCAGAUGAGCCUAGGUCGGAUUAGCUAGUUGGUGGGGUAAAGGCCUGCCAAGGCGACGAUCCGUAACUGGUCUGAGAGGAUGAUCAGUCACACUGGAACUGAGACACGGUCCAGACUCCUACGGGAGGCAGCAGUGGGGAAUAUUGGACAAUGGGCGAAAGCCUGAUCCAGCCAUGCCGCGUGUGUGAAGAAGGUCUUCGGAUUGUAAAGCACUUUAAGUUGGGAGGAAGGGCAGUAAGUUAAUACCUUGCUGUUUUGACGUUACCAACAGAAUAAGCACCGGCUAACUUCGUG